rnacentral:rRNA from 1 species
UACGUAGGGGGCAAGCGUUGUCCGGAUUUAUUGGGCGUAAAGAGCGUGUAGGCGGCCUGAAAGGUCAGCUGUGAAAACUCGAGGCUCAACCUCGAGACGUCGGUUGAAACCAUCUGGCUAGAGUCCGGAAGAGGAGUGUGGAAUUCCCGGUGUGAGCGGUGAAAUGCGCAGAUAUCGGGAAGAACACCCGUGGCGAAGGCGGCACUCUGGGCCGGUACUGACGCUGAGACGCGAAAGCGUGGGGAGCGAACAGG